rnacentral:rRNA from 1 species
UGGGGAAUAUUGCACAAUGGGCGCAAGCCUGAUGCAGCCAUGCCGCGUGUGUGAAGAAGGCCUUCGGGUUGUAAAGCACUUUCAGCGGGGAGGAAGGCGGUGAGGUUAAUAACCUCACCGAUUGACGUUACCCGCAGAAGAAGCACCGGCUAACUCCGUGCCAGCAGCCGCGGUAAUACGGAGGGUGCAAGCGUUAAUCGGAAUUACUGGGCGUAAAGCGCACGCAGGCGGUCUGUCAAGUCGGAUGUGAAAUCCCCGGGCUCAACCUGGGAACUGCAUUCGAAACUGGCAGACUAGAGUCUUGUAGAGGGGGGUAGAAUUCCAGGUGUAGCGGUGAAAUGCGUAGAGAUCUGGAGGAAUACCGGUGGCGAAGGCGGCCCCCUGGACAAAGACUGACGCUCAGGUGCGAAAGCGUGGGGAGCAAACAGG